rnacentral:rRNA from 1 species
AUUGAACGCUGGCGGAAUGCUUUACACAUGCAAGUCGAACGGCAGCACGGACUUCGGUCUGGUGGCGAGUGGCGAACGGGUGAGUAAUGUAUCGGAACGUGCCCAGUCGUGGGGGAUAACGUAGUGAAAAUUACGCUAAUACCGCAUACGAUAUAUGGAUGAAAGCGGGGGAUCGCAAGACCUCGCGCGAUUGGAGCGGCCGAUAUCAGAUUAGGUAGUUGGUGGGGUAAAGGCCCACCAAGCCAACGAUCUGUAGCUGGUCUGCGAGGACGACCAGCCACACUGGAACUGAGACACGGUCCAGACUCCUACGGGAGGCAGCAGUGGGGAAUUUUGGACAAUGGGCGAAAGCCUGAUCCAGCCAUUCCGCGUGCAGGAUGAAGGCCCUCGGGUUGUAAACUGCUUUUGUACAGAACGAAAAGGUUUCUACUAAUACUAGGAGCUCAUGACGGUACUGUAAGAAUAAGCACCGGCUAACUACGUGCCAGCCGCCGCGGUAA